rnacentral:rRNA from 1 species
UACGUAGGGACCAAGCGUUGUUCGGAUUUACUGGGCGUAAAGGGCGCGUAGGCGGCUUAACAAGUCACUUGUGAAAUCUCCGGGCUUAACUCGGAACGGCCAAGUGAAGCUGUUAUGCUAGAGUGCAGAAGGGGCAAUCGGAAUUCUUGGUGUAGCGGUGAAAUGCGUAGAUAUCAAGAGGAACACCUGAGGUGAAGGCGGGUUGCUGGGCUGACACUGACGCUGAUGCGCGAAAGCCAGGGGAGCAAACGGG